AUACAGUGGAACGUGAUGACGUCACAGAGGUCCCAUCGUCACCGACGUCGUUUCCUGGGGAACGGUCCGGAAUGGUGGGCACGGGGUUGUGGUAAAGUGGAGUCGGUCUCUACUUUGGGUUUCGGCUCCACUGUGGGAAUCGGCCUCUCCUCUUCCUGCCCACGGAACAGUGAGUGUCUGUCAGCGCCUCACCGCACCGGCUCUCUGCCUCAGAUUAUAGACUCCAGUAGCUGAAGUGAAGUUAACUGGACUACAGUCACCUGCUUUUUAUCUUCCACCCUUCUUCAACAAUGGUUUUCAACUCCACUGGGACCUUUCCGUAACAGUGAGUUUUGACAGACUUCAGUGUCUCUACUUUCUCUCCAGACUUCAGUGCAGAUCAUUGGGAUCUGGAAAUGUUUGCGUUCUGUCCCAUUAGUUUCACCCUUCUGAUGGUGAUUGUUACACAUUAUGGCACAAUGUUGAAAUGUCACUGUUCGAUAUCUCUGGGAUGUUUGCUGUGUCCCCACUGUGAACACUAAUUAAAAUUACUGAGUUAACCUAUCUGCUUUUUCCUUGUAAGUUUUAGCUUUUGUCUCAUCACUGGUUCCUGGAAAAAUCCUGAUCUUCUUUUCUACUGCCAACCGUUGCCUCUUUUUAUGCUCUUUGAUUUAAUAUUUCCCUUGAACUCCAUUGACCACAGAAUGUUCUUUGCUCUCUGUGAUCCCUCUGCAGAAUUAGCAUCAACAUCUGCUGACUGUUAUGAACAGUCUCCUUAAACAUCGCUGCUGCUCAUUACUGCUCAUAUUUACCCCAAAUCCACUCCACUGUCACGUCUCUGUAAUUGCCUUUAUUUACAUUGAGGACACUGGUUCUGGACCCUAGUGUUCACCCUCAAUCUGUGGUCUGGCAUUCUGCCACAUUGUGAUCACUUCUUCAGGGAUCCUUCACCACAAGAUCUCUCUGUAUUCCCACCUCAUUACACAGAUUACAUCUGAAACGUCCUGUUCCUGGGUAAGGUCCUGCUGUAAGAAACUGUCUCUGACCACUCCACAAAUUUCUCUUCCACUGUACCAGUUUGAUCAGCUUAAUCAACACACAGACUGAAGCAAACACACACAAAAUACUGCAGGAACUCAGAAAAGAGUCGACAUUUCGGGCUGAGAACCUUCAUCAGGAUUAGAAAGAAAGGGACAAAAGCCAGAAUAAGGUGCUGGGGAGGGGGAGGAGGACAAGUGAGUGGGGGCAGAGGGAGUGGUUUGUGGAGGGAUGAUGAUGAGAGGACUUGGGUGACAGACAGGAAAGGCAAAGUGAUGAAGAGAAAGGAAUCCAGUAGGAGAGAACGUUGGACCAUGGGAUGACACGAAGGAGGUGGAGAACCAGAGAGAGUUGAUGGGCAGGUCAUGACGGUGCAUGAGGAGAGGUGAAGGGGGUAAAUGGCACCAGAAUGGGGGAAAAGUCAGAAGAAAAAUAGUAGUUCAGUGAAUGUGUGGAAACAGAGGGCAGUGACUUCUGAAAUUUGGAGAAAUCAAUAUCAGAAUAUGAGAUGUUGCUCGUCCAACCUGCAGUUGUCCUCAUCGUAGCAGGAGAGGAAGCCAUGGACAGAUACAUUAGUGAUGGCCCUCUGCUGCGUCAGGGUCGACCAUGGAUAUUGUGCCCUCGCUGUGAAAGUCAAUUUGUAAACCAGGGUAGCACGGUACGUAAAGCAAGCUGUUGCCCAUGCAGGGGCUCCUGCUCUCCAUGCUGCUGAUGAAUCCAGAUCAACCGCAGGCACCAACGGUGUCACAGGAUUACCAGUCUGUAUUGAACAUCGGACUGACAGGGAAUCCAGCUCUGGAUUGUUCCUCCGGGUUUACUCCCGAAGCCUUGCCCAUGAAUGGGUCGAGCCACAAGCCAGUAGAGGUUUCAGAUCAGAAAUUUGCUUCCACUAGAUGAGCUGCCAACCGUGGGUGAAAGCCCCAUUUGCCCAUAGCAGUUAGUUAUAUGAUGCCAGUAAACCCAUUUAGACCCUCCCCGUCACUAGAAAGAGUUUGUCAGGCUUUGUAGCGAAGCCAUAUGUAAAAGCUAGGAGCUGGACUUGGUUGACAGAGGCAAUUUGAAGCAGCAAUUAUUAGGAAGUGACAUCUUGUCCCCAUUACCGCCCCACCACUGGUUGAGACAGCUGUAAGGCACCAAUAUGUCAGUAUGUGAAUGGGAAAUGGAACUAGAAUGCAUUGCCACUGGCAGAUUGUUGUUGUUGCAGCUCACAGAGUAGAGGUACUCGAUGUUGUGGUACAUCAAUCUGCUUCCGAUUAAAUCUCUCAUGACAAUCACAUUUCCAUUCUCAUCUCUCUUUGAUAUUUACCCUUUUGUGUUUUAUCCCUUCGGGAGGAACACCUGAGGAUCUUGAGACCACUCCUCCCCGUGUCUUCUUUCCCUCCCCUUUCACCAUCACUGUCCCUACAUGUAAGGUACCUAUGAAAAGUAUUCAUGCUGCUUUAAAGUUUUCAUGUUUUAUUGUUUUACAACUUUGAAUGACAGUGGAUUGAAUUUGGCAUUUGUUUGACUGAUCAAGAGAAAAAGACUUUUGUGUCAAAGUGAAAACAGAUCUCCACAAAAUGCUUGAAAUUAAUUACAGAUAUAAAACACAAAAUAAUUGACUGUAUAAAUAUUCACCCCAAAUCAUCAAUUGUACAGCCAAGUAGUUUUAGGAAUUACAUAAUCAGUUAAGUGGAGGUCACUGUGUGAGUCAAGGUGUUUCAAUUGAUUGUAGUAAAAAUACACGACUGUUGGUAGUCAGUAUCCUGGGAGAAACUACACCAUAAAAACAAAUUAACACUCUGAGCAGCUCUGCAAAAAGGUAAUUAAAAAUCACAAUUCAGGAGAUGGAUACAAGAAAAUUUUCAAGUCACUGAAUAUCCCUUGGAGUACAGUUAAGUCACUCAUCCUGAAAUGGAAAGAACAUGGCAGAGCUGUAAAUCUGCCAGGAUUAGGCCAUCCUCAAAAACUGAGUGACUGUGCAAGAAGGGGACGAGUGAGGGAGGCAACCAAGAGACCUAUGAUAACUCUAGAGAAAUCACAAUCUUCAGUGGCUGAGAUGGGAGAGACUGUGUAUACAACUGUUGCCCAGAUGCUUCACCUGUCGGAGCUUUUUGGGAGAGUAGCAAAGAGAAAGCCAUUGUUGAAAAAAGCUCUCAUGAAAUCUCACCUGCAGUUUGCUAGAAGACUGAAGUCAACUGGAAGAAGGUUCUAUAGUCUGAUGAAAUAAAAUUGACCUUCUUGGCCAUCAGGUUAAGUUUGGCACAAGACAAACACGGUGCAGCAUCAAAAACACACCAUUCCAGCAUGGUGGAGGCUGCAUCCUGCUGUGGGGAUGUUUCACUGCAGCAGGCCCUGAAAGGCUCAAAAAGUAGAGAGUAAAAUGAAUGCAGCCAAAUAUAGUGAAAUCUUGGAGCAAAACCUAAUUCAGUCUGCAAGCGAACUGUGACUUAGGAGAAGAUUCAUUUCCCAGCAGGAGAAUGACCGCAAGUAUAAAACCAAAGCUACCCAGGAAUGACUUAAAACCAAAGUUAAUGUCCUGGAGUGGCCAAGUCAGAGUCCAGACCUCAAUCCAAUUGAGUAUUUGUGGCUGGACUUGAAAAAAUCUAUUCACUCAUGAACCGCAUGCAAUCUGCCAGAGCUUCAGCAGUUUUGUAAAGAAAAAUUGGGAAAAUUUUCAGUGGCCAGAUGUGCAAAGCGGAUAGAGACCUGUCCACACAGAGCCAACGGUAAUUACUGACAAAGGUGCAUCAACUAAUUACUGACUUGAAAGAGGUGAAUACCAAUGCAAUUAAAUUAUUUUGUGUUUUAUAUUUUCAAUUAAUUAGAUCACUUUGUAAAGAUCUGUUUUUCACUUUGACACCAGGGAGUCCAUUCUGCUGAUCAGUGUGGGAAAAUAAACCCAAAUUAAAUCCACUGUGAAUAAACGUUGCAAAACAAUAAACAUGAAAACCUCCAAAGGAGACUGAACACUUUUGAUGGCACUGUAUCCACCCCUUCACCAGCACGUUAUGAACAAAUCCAUCCUGCUCCUUUCCAUUUUGCCAAUUCCGUGUGGAACAUUAAACAUGUAGGAAUGUCAGAUUCCCAGUCCAAGUCUCUGUAACCGUCCCUGCAAUAGCUGGUAGAUCAAACAUAUUCGUCAGUACACAAUAUGGAACAGAUGGCAACCUGCCCUUCAGUCCACAAUAUCUGUACCAAUCAUAACAUUGAGACUUUAUAAAGUACUGGUGAGGUCUCACUGGAGUAUUGUGAGCAUAUCUUAGGAAGGAUGAGCUGAAACUGGAUGUGUUUCAAAGGAGAUUCUCAAAAUUGACUCCAGGAUGAAACAGCUUGGCAUAUGAAGAGUGUUUGAUUGCUCUGGGCCUGUACGCACUGGAAUUUAUGUCAAUGAGGGCUGACCUGAUUGAAACCUUUCGAAUGGUGAAAGGCCUUGAUAAAGUGGAUGUGCGGAGCAUGGGAGUGUCUGAGACCAGAGGAUGCAGCCUCAGAAUAGAGCGUUGUAGAAUUUGGAGAUGAGGAAUUUCUUUAGCCAGAGAGUGGUGAAUCUGUGGAAUUUGUUGCCUCCGGCAGCUGUGGAGCCAAGACUUUAUGUAUAUUUAAGGCAGAGGUUGCUAGAUUCUUGAUUGGUCAGAUUAUGAAGGGUUACAGGGAGAAGGCAAGGGAUUGAGGCUUUGAGGGAAAAUGGAUUAGCCAUGAUGAAAUGAAGGAGCAGAUUUGAUGGGCCAAAUGGCCUAAUUCUGAUCCUAUAUCUUAGAGUCUGUAUCACCUCCUCAGAAACCUCAAUCAGCUUUCUCAAGUGUGAUCUGCCUGAACAAAGCCAUGCUGAUUGUCCCUGAGCAGGCCGUGCCUUUCCAAAUGUGCAUAAACCCUGUACCUCAAUAUCCUCCCCAGUAGCUUCUCCACCACUGAAAUGAGGCUGCCUUGCUUAUAGAUCCCUAGGUUCUUGUUAUUUCCUUUCUUGAUCAAAGCUGCAACAUUUGCUACACUCCAGUACUGAGGGACCUCAUAUGUCGCAAUUCAGGACACAGACAGACAUACUUUAUUAAUCCGGGGGGAUACUGGGUUUUGUUAUAGUUGCACCAACCAAGAAUAGUGUAGAAAUAUAGCAAUAUAAAACCAUAAUUAAAUAAUAAUAAGUAAAUUAUGCCAAAUGGAAGUAAGUCCAGGACUAGUGUAUUGACUCAGGGUGUCUGACACUCCGAGGGAGGAGUUGUAAAGUUUGAUGGCCACAGGCAGGAAUGACUUCCUAUGAUGCUCAGUGUUGCAUCUCGGUGGAAUGAGUCUCCGGCUGAAUGUACUCCUGUGCCUAACCACUACAUUGUGCAUUGGAUGGGAGACAUUGUCCAAGAUGGCAUGCAACUUGGACAGCAUCCUCUUUUCAGGCACCACCCUCAGAGAGUCCAGUUCCACCCCCACAACAUCACUGGCCUUACGAAGGAGUUUGUUGAUUCUGUUGGUGUCUGCUACCCUCAGCCUGCUGCCCAGCACACAACAGCAAACUGGAUAGCACUGGCCACCACAGACUCGUGGAACAUCCUCAGCAUCCUCUGGCAGAUGUUAAAGGACCUCAGUCUCCUCAGAAAAUAGAGACGGCUCUGACCCUUCUUGUAGACAGUCUCACUGUUCUUUGACCAGUCCAGUUUAUUGUCAAUUCGUAUCCCCAGGUAUUUGUAAUCCUCCACCAUGUCCACACUGACCCCUUGGAUAGAAACAGGGGUCACCGUUGCCUUAGCCCUCCUCAGGUCCACCACCAGCUCCUUAGUCUUUUUAACAUUAAGCUGCAGAUGAUUGUGCUCGGACUAUUUGACAAAGUUUCCCACCGUAGCCCUGUACUCCGCCUCAUCUCCCUUGCUGAUGCAUCCAACUAUGGCAGAGUCAUCAGAAAACUUCUGAAGAUGGCAUGACUUUGUGCAGUAGUUGAAGUCCGAGGUGUAGAUGGUGAAGAGAAAGGGAGACAGGACAGUCCCCUGUGGAGCCCCAGUGCUGCUGACCACUCUGCCUGACACAGUGUUCCAAGCGCACGUACUGUGGUCGGUCAGUCAGGCAAUCAAUAAUCCAUGACACCAGGGAAGCAUCCACCUGCAACACUGUCAGCUUCUCACCCAGCAGAGCAGGGCGGAGGGUGUUGAACGCACUGGAGAAGUCAGAAAACAUGACCCUCAUUGUGCUCGUCGGCUUCUCCAGGUGGGCGUAGACACGAUUCAGCAGGUAGGCGAUGACAUCCUCAACUCCUAGUCGGGGCUGGUAGGUGAACUGGAGGGGGUCUAAGUGUGGCCUAACCAUAGGCCGGAGCUGCCCUAGAACAAGUCUCUCCAGGGUCUUCAUGAUGUGGGAGGUCAAUGCCGCCGGUCUGUAGUCAUUGGAGCCACUGGGGCGCGGCGUCUUCGGUACAGGGACAAGGUAGGACGUCUUCCACAGCACAUGAACCCUCUGGAGACUCAGGCUUAUAUUGAAGACAUGGUGAAGUGCUCCACAUAGCUGGGGGGCACAGGCUUUGAGCACCCUGGGGCUGACACCAUCCGGGCCUGCAGCCUUGCUUGGGUGGAGACGUUUCAGCUGUCUUCUCACCUGUUAUGCUGUGAAGCCCACCAUGGUGGUUUCAGGUGGGGGAGGGGUGUAGUCCUGAGAGCAGGGUGGGGGGCUGUGAGGAGGAGUAGGAGGGGAGAGUGGAGUAUAUGUUGGUUGGGGGCCGAUAACAGAUGAAUCGUGUGAGGGAUGGGCAGGGGCCACAGUGUCAAAUCUGUUGAAAAUCAGGUUAAUUUUGUUGUCCCUGUCCACACUGCCUUCAGCUCCUCUGUUGCUAGUUUGCCGGAACCCAGUGAUGGUCCUCAUCCCACUCCAGACCUCUGUCAUGUUGUGCUGGAGUUUCCACUCAAGCGUCCUGACGAAGGGUCUCGGUCCAAAAUGUCGACUGCGAUUCUUCCUAUAGAUGCUGCCUGGCCUGCUGUGUUCCACCAGCAUUUUGUGUGUGUUGUUUGAAUUUCCAGCAUCUGCAGAUUUCCUCGUGCUUCCUCCUACACCUGUCUUUAGCUUCCCUGCUCUUGGCUUUCAGGUCCCUCUGUAUUGUCCUCAGCUCCUCCCUAUUUCCAUCUCUAAGUGACCUCUUUUUAGCGUUCAGGAUGUCCUUAAUGUCCUUUGUUACCCAUGACUUGUUAUUUGAAUAACGAAGGACAGUCCUUGCCGGAACAUUGCAGUCCACACAGAAGUUGAUGUAACCAGUGAUGCACUCUGUGAGCCCAUCAAUGUCCUCCCCAUGUGGCUCACAGAGUGCCUGCCUGUCUGUCACCUCAAAACAACUCUGGAGUGUCUCAGAUCAGUGGUCCCCAACCACCGGGCCGCAAAACACGUGCUGCCAGGCUGUGAAGAACAGAUAUGAUUUGGUGAUAUGAAACGAUAUGAGUCAGCUGCACCUUUCCUCAUUCCGUCACGCUACUGUUGAACUUGAACGCACACAAGGUCAUCAGUCAGUAUGAGUAAAAAACAAUGUCGCUUGAGAGUUUCUUUGGAAGAGGUGGCAGGGGACAUAAAAGGCCCAAUGAUGACGACCACGCAGAGACGGCUGAGGCCAAGACUACAAAAAAAAAGAAAGCUUCCUUCAACUGAAAAUACGACGAGUCGCACAUAAAAUAUGGCUUUAUUGCGACCGGUGACUCGUAUGCUCCAAGCCCCUGUGUGUGAUAUGUGGAGACAUGCUGUCUAAUGAGGCAAUGAAGCCCUCAAAACUGCUUCGGCAUCUCGAGUCCCAGCUCCCUUCACUUAAAGACAAACCCUUUAAGUUUUCUGAGUGGAAAAAACGUCAGCAAGCAGGACAGAAGCAAGUGCUGAGAGCCACCACCUCCACAAAUGCUGCUGCUCUGAGAGCGUCAUAGUUAGUGGCUAGCCGUAUUGCUGAGGUUAAGAAGCCUUUCACUGUUGGGGAAGAAUUGAUUCUGCCUGCUGCCAAGGACUGUGAAAUGUGCUGUGAACUGUUGAGAGAAGCUGCAGCUAACAAGAUGGCACAGGUUUCUCUUCCAGCUACCACAGUUUCAAGGAGAAUCGAUGACAAAGCGGAGGACAUCGAAGCACAGAUGUUAGAACGGCUUAACGAGUCACCAUGGUAUGCUAUCCAGGUCGACGAGUCUACCAAUGCGACAACAAGGUAACACUGCUGGUUUAUGUUGUUACGCCUGUGCUUCCCCCUCCCCCCCCCCCCCCCCCCCUUUUUGAGAAUCGCAAGAUCGCUAUUAAGUCAGGUCAGGAGACCCAGGAAAUGAGAGAAAGACAUGCAGAAAAUCCACAGAGAGUCUAGAAUGUGUCCUGACCUCCAAAAGGCAGAACCAUUGAUAAUGGCUAUUGUCUCUUGGAGUUGGAAUUGUGUUUUGAGCGCUGUGCUAUUCAUCGAUGCCCUCAACGAAUCAGGCAACAGGGGCUGGUUGGGGGAUGGCAUCCUCCCCAACCUGAUUGACAUCUGAGACCCCGUGAGUGGGGAUAAAAGAUGGUCUGUGGGAACAGCCCCUCAGACGUACCAGAAGAAACGCUCAAAAUCCUGUAACAGCGUAAUAGCGAAAGCCGGUGGAAAGCCACGUGCGUCCUUUUCCAUUUGCCUCGGAAUUGGUGGGCCUUGCCUCAGUAGAACGGCUUUAGCCGACAACAAAGGGGAAAUCAGCCCCCAACGACUCUCGAAGGAUUGACAUCAUAAAAGGAAUGGGCAAGUUAAACAUCCGUCUUCCUCUUCAACCAAAAGCUGCAGUUUGAAUGAACUUGAGUGACUUUUAUAUUUCCAUCGGACUAUACAUUUUGCCCUAGACAACGAUAGAGCUAUUUCUUAUUGAUUAUUAUUAUACCCGCGCUUUUAGAUUCAGUAUUGACGAUGUAUAUUAUCUGUAUGUUUGCAUUGAUAUUAUUUUUGUGUAUUUUUAUCAAUAAAUACUGUUAAAAGUA